AGUGGACGCUGGCGGUAGGCCUAACACAUGCAAGUCGAACGGCAGCACAGUAAGAGCUUGCUCUUACGGGUGGCGAGUGGCGGACGGGUGAGGAAUACAUCGGAAUCUACUUUUUCGUGGGGGAUAACGUAGGGAAACUUACGCUAAUGCCGCAUACGACCUACGGGUGAAAGCAGGGGAUCUUCGGACCUUGCGCGAUUGAAUGAGCCGAUGUCGGAUUAGCUAGUUGGCGGGGUAAAGGCCCACCAAGGCGACGAUCCGUAGCUGGUCUGAGAGGAUGAUCAGCCACACUGGAACUGAGACACGGUCCAGACUCCUACGGGAGGCAGCAGUGGGGAAUAUUGGACAAUGGGCGCAGGCCUGAUCCAGCCAUACCGCGUGGGUGAAGAAGGCCUUCGGGUUGUAAAGCCCUUUUGUUGGGAAAGAAAAGCAGCAGGUUAAUACCCCGCUGUUCUGACGGUACCCAAAGAAUAAGCACCGGCUAACUUCGUG
rnacentral:rRNA from 1 species